rnacentral:rRNA from 1 species
CAGCAGCCGCGGGAAUACGAAGGGGGCUAGCGUUGCUCGGAAUGACUGGGCGUAAAGGGCGCGUAGGCGGUUUGCACAGUCAGAUGUGAAAUUCCUGGGCUUAACCUGGGGGCUGCAUUUGAUACGUGUGGACUAGAGUGGGGAAGAGGGUCGUGGAAUUCCCAGUGUAGAGGUGAAAUUCGUAGAUAUUGGGAAGAACACCGGUGGCGAAGGCGGCGACCUGGUCCUUGACUGACGCUGAGGCGCGAAAGCGUGGGGAGCAAACAGGAUUAGAUACCCCCGUAGUCCCUGUCUCUUAUAC